GUGAGGAAUAUUGGUCAAUGGACGAGAGUCUGAACCAGCCAAGUCGCGUGAAGGAAGACGGUUCUAUGAAUUGUAAACUUCUUUUGUGCAGGAAUAAAGUGGGUUACGUGUAACCUUUUGUAUGUACUGUACGAAUAAGGAUCGGCUAACUCCGUGCCAGCAGCCGCGGUAAUACGGAGGAUCCGAGCGUAUCCGGAUUUAUUGGGUUUAAAGGGUGCGCAGGCGGGUUGAUAAGUCAGCGGUGAAAGUUUGCAGCUUAACUGUAAAAUUGCCGUUGAAACUGUCGAUCUUGAGUGCAAAUGAGGUAAGCGGAAUGUGUUGUGUAGCGGUGAAAUGCUUAGAUAUAACACAGAACACCGAUUGCGAAGGCAGCUUACUGGGAUGCAACUGACGCUCAUGCACGAAAGCGUGGGGAUCAAACAGGAUUAGAUACCCUGGUAGUCC
rnacentral:rRNA from 1 species